rnacentral:rRNA from 1 species
UACGUAGGGGGCAAGCGUUGUCCGGAAUCAUUGGGCGUAAAGCGCGUGUAGGCGGCCCGAUAAGUCCGCUGUGAAAGUCCAGGGCUCAACCCUGGGAUGCCGGUGGAUACUGUCGGGCUCGAGUCCGGAAGAGGCGAGUGGAAUUCCCGGUGUAGCAGUGAAAUGCGUAGAUAUCGGGAGGAACACCAGUGGCGAAGGCGAGUCCCUGGACAAUUCCUGACGCUGAGGCACGAAAGCCAGGGGAGCAAACAGG